rnacentral:rRNA from 1 species
UGGGGAAUUUUGGACAAUGGGGGCACGCUGAUCAGCAAUGCCGCGUGUGUGAAGAAGGCCUUCGGGUUGUAAAGCACUUUUGUCCGGAAAGAAAACGCCGUGGUUAAUACCCGUGGCGGAUGACGGUACCGGAAGAAUAAGCACCGGCUAACUACGUGCCAGCAGCCGCGGUAAUACGUAGGGUGCAAGCGUUAAUCGGAAUUACUGGGCGUAAAGCGUGCGCAGGCGGUCCGCUAAGACAGAUGUGAAAUCCCCGGGCUUAACCUGGGAACUGCAUUUGUGACUGGCGGGCUAGAGUAUGGCAGAGGGGGGUAGAAUUCCACGUGUAGCAGUGAAAUGCGUAGAGAUGUGGAGGAAUACCGAUGGCGAAGGCAGCCCCCUGGGCCAAUACUGACGCUCAUGCACGAAAGCGUGGGGGAGCAAACAGGAUUAGAUACCCUGGUAGUCCACGCCCUAAACGAUGUCAACUA